GCCAUCGGACAUACCACGUUGAGUACGCCGGUUCUCGUCCGAUCACCGAAGCUAAACAUCGUUGGGUCCGGGCAGUACGUGGAACGGAGACCGCCUGGGAACACUGGGUGUUGAUGGCA
rnacentral:rRNA from 1 species